rnacentral:rRNA from 1 species
AAAAUUUAAAAUAAAAAUACUAAAAUAGUAAGUAAAUAUUUAUUGAAACUUAAAUAAUUUGGCGGUAUUUUAGUUCAUUUAGAGGAAUCUGUUUAAUAAUUGAUAUUCCACGAAUAAAUUUACUUAAUUUAUAAUUUUGUAUAUCGUUGUUAGAAAAAUAUUUUUUAAUAAAAUUAAUAUUUAAAAAUUAUUAUUAAAAUUAAAAUCAAAUCAAGAUGCAGAUUAUAUUUAAGAAUAUAAUGGAUUACAAUAAAAUUAUUUAAAUGAAUUUUAAUUUGUAAUAAUUAAUUGAAAGUGGAUUUAAAUGUAAUUUUAUUUAAUUUAAUAAAAUGAUUAAAAAUUAAAAUAUGU